rnacentral:rRNA from 1 species
UACGAAGGGGGCUAGCGUUGCUCGGAAUCACUGGGCGUAAAGCGCACGUAGGCGGAUUGCUAAGUCAGGGGUGAAAUCCUGUAGCUCAACUCCAGAACUGCCUUUGAUACUGGCGGUCUCGAGUCCGGGAGAGGUGAGUGGAACUGCGAGUGUAGAGGUGAAAUUCGUAGAUAUUCGCAAGAACACCAGUGGCGAAGGCGGCUCACUGGCCCGGUACUGACGCUGAGGUGCGAAAGCGUGGGGAGCAAACAGG